AGAGUUUGAUCCUGGCUCAGGAUGAACCGUAGCGGCAGGCUUAACACAUGCAAGUCGAGGGGCAGCGGGAUGUAGCAAUACAUUGCCGGCGGACCGGCGCAAGGGUGCGUAACGCGUGAGCAACAUGCCCGUCACAGGAGGAUAAACCAUGGAAACGUGGCCUAAUACUCCAUAGUAUGUAGGGAAGGCAUCUUCCUUAUAUUAAAGCUUCGGUGGUGACGGAUUGGCUCGCGUGACAUUAGCUAGAUGGAGAGGUAACGGCUCACCAUGGCGACGAUGUCUAGGGGAACUGAGAGGUUUAUCCCCCACACUGGUACUGAGACACGGACCAGACUCCUACGGGAGGCAGCAGUGAGGAAUAUUGGACAAUGGAUGGAAAUCUGAUCCAGCCAUGCCGCGUGCAGGAUGACGGCCCUAUGGGUCUUAAACUGCUUUUGUAUGGGAGCCAAUAAGCUUUACCGUGUAAAGUGAUGAGAGUACCAUACGAAUAAGCAUCGGCUAACUCCGUGCCAGCAGCCGCGGU
rnacentral:rRNA from 1 species